rnacentral:rRNA from 1 species
CCUACGGGAGGCAGCAGUGGGGAAUAUUGGGCAAUGGGCGCAAGCCUGACCCAGCAACGCCGCGUGAAGGAAGAAGGCUUUCGGGUUGUAAACUUCUUUUCUCAGGGACGAAGAAAGUGACGGUACCUGAGGAAUAAGCCACGGCUAACUACGUGCCAGCAGCCGCGAUAAUACGUAGGUGGCAAGCGUUAUCCGGAUUUAUUGGGUGUAAAGGGCGUGUAGGCGGGAGCGCAAGUCAGAUGUGAAAACGCAGGGCUCAACCCUGAGCCUGCAUUUGAAACUGUGUUUCUUGAGUGCUGGGGAGGCAAUCGGAAUUCCGUGUGUAGCGGUGAAAUGCGUAGAUAUACGGAGGAACACCAGUGGCGAAGGCGGAUUGCUGGACAGUAACUGACGCUGAGGCGCGAAAGCGUGGGGAGCAAACAGGAUUAGAUACCCCUGUAGUC